CUGAUGCCAAAAUUUAAGAGAAACGUGACGAAAAAAAUGUCAUGUCAAAUCGUUUCACUCACUCAAAAGACGAUGUGUGAAGAUUAAAUUCGCAUUAAAGUACUGAUGUGAUGCUAAACAGACCGAAUGAGCGACUGAAACCAGUCUCUUACCUGUGUGUGGAAUCUGGGUCACCCGUCCCGUCCUCCGAGAGUUUGUCUCUUCUCCUCUGACUGUGGUCGAUUCCUCCCGGACCCCAUGUCAGUGUUCAGCCCCUUUCACAAUCACGCCCCGCUCCCCCUCUGAAGCCAGGCUGCCCCCAGACAAACCUCCACCAACUUUUCUCGAGGAAACAGACUUUGUGAGGAAACACUCUAUUCGUACCUGCAGAGGCUCUUGAUGAGAUGUGCUGCAGUCCUGCUGAUGGUUUUUG